ensembl:lncRNA
ACAGUGUACACUUUAGUAGACCAAAAUAAAAUAAUAUCUAAUAAUUAUAAUAAAAUAACCCAUUUAUACGCUAAUUGUGCCGCACACAGGAAUGAUAUUACAUAGGCAUAACUAUUUAGGAUACAAUGACCAAAGUAGUUGAGAGUUAACUUCAAUAACAUUUAAAUUCAAGCAUUUAAAUUUCUCUUUGCCAGGUGUACCAUACUUUUUCAUUGUGUAUCUGUACUUGGCUAAUCUGAAACGACGUCAGGUUCUGUUAGAAAUGCACGUAUGCUCUCAGGAAUUGACCCGUAGCAUGUUGCAGAUAAACAUUAUACUGGAAUUCAGUCAAAAACAUGCUGAAUAAUAGUGCACACGUUGAAUAUAUAGUGUACAAUAAGGGAUUUCAGUUGCAGCAUUAUGAUGAGGAAGGUUAAUAUCUAAACAGCGUUAUUGACAUAAGCAAGUUAGCAUGCUAAUGUUAGCAUCCAGCUCACAGCACUGCUCCUCACAGACUUUUGUAGGGCAAAAGAAAUUUGAUGAAUUUGGCCAAAAACUAAAAGUUGUGAUAUUUUAUUUACCUUUUAAUUUGGUUAUUGUCAAAAAACAACAAUAAAAACAGCAACAAAAACCUACAAAACAAACAUUAGCUUGUUUUUUUGAGGGAGCAUUUAGCCACAUUUGACAUCUGCUGACCUGACAAACUUUUUGUAGUUAAAACAAAUCCAUGUCUUCAUGACUUCAACAUGGCCACAUGCCCAGGAUUGCCGACAGCUGUGGAAGCCACAUAAGUGCACUUUUUUUUUUUUAACUCGUAUUUGAUAUUUGGACCCAAAGAUGUUAACAUUUCUAUACUUAGCAUCAGAUGAGGUCAGUCAAGAGGGCAUAAUCAGGUGAUGGACUUGGCAGGGAGGGAAAAAAUCCACAUUUUAGCGCUAAAACACUGCUAUGUUUAAGCUCACAGAACUGCAUGGUCAUCAAAUUAGAGGGACUGUGUGUAAAAAUAACUUAUGUUUCUAUGUUGGUCAGGCAAAUUGGAUGUGAACACCCUCCACUGCUUUGACUCAGCACUUUAACCUCAUGGCCAUUGCUUCAUUUCUUUUCCACUGCGCUGGAGUACAGAUCUAAAACAGUGAAAAGCAUCUCCCUGGACAAAUAUUUAUAGGCUCUACUGCAGCUUUACGGGACAUUAGGAGGAAGAAGCCAGAGAAAAGAACAAAAUCACACCCGUGGCAGAGACAGCAGUACUUUAUUUUUAAGGUGGGACUGCUGCAGAUGACACGGAGAAGCUGUAGAUAGUGGUCACUUACACAAUGAUUAUCCAUUCAUUGGGCUCUA